rnacentral:rRNA from 1 species
GCGGACGGGGGAGGAACACGGGGGUAACCUGCCCUUAAGGGGGGGAUAACAUUUGGAAACAGAUGCUAAUACCGCAUAGAUCCAAGAACCGCAUGGUUCUUGGCUGAAAGAUGGCGUAAGCUUUCGCUUUUGGAUGGACCCCCGGCGUAUUAGCUAGUUGGGGAGGUAAUGGCUCACCAAGGCGAUGAUACGUAGCCAAACUGAGAGGUUGAUCGGCCCCUUUGGGACUGAAACACGGCCCAAACUCCUACGGGAGGCAGCAGUAGGGAAUCUUCCACAAUGGACGCAAGUCUGAUGGAGCAACCCCCCGUGAGUGAAGAAGGCUUUCGGGUCGUAAAACUCUGUUGUUGGAAAAAAAUGGUCGGCAAAGUAACUGUUGUCGGCGUGACGGUAUCCAACCA